rnacentral:rRNA from 1 species
AUUGAACGCUGGCGGCAUGCUUUACACAUGCAAGUCGAACGGUAACAGGCCUUCGGGUGCUGACGAGUGGCGAACGGGUGAGUAAUGCAUCGGAACGUACCCAGAGGUGGGGGAUAACGCAGCGAAAGCUGUGCUAAUACCGCAUGUGAUCUGAGGAUGAAAGCGGGGGACCGAGCAGCAAUGUUUGGCCUCGCGCCUUUGGAGCGGCCGAUGUCGGAUUAGCUAGUUGGUGGGGUAAAGGCCUACCAAGGCGACGAUCCGUAGCUGGUCUGAGAGGACGACCAGCCACACUGGGAGUGGGACACGGCCCAGACUCCUACGGGAGGCAGCAGUGGGGAAUUUUGGACAAUGGGCGCAAGCCUGAUCCAGCAAUGCCGCGUGCGGGAAGAAGGCCUUCGGGUUGUAAACCGCUUUUGGCAGGAACGAAACGGUGUCCGCUAAUACCGGGCGCUAAUGACGGUACCUGCAGAAUAAGCACCGGCUAACUACGUG